UGCGAGUUGUGCGCUCUCAAGCUAUGUUGAGAGAGCAGCAAACGGCUCAGUAACACGUAGUUAAUCUACCCUCAGGACAGGGAUACCCCCGGGAAACUGGGGAUAAUAUCUGAUAGGCGGAAGCGCCUGGAAUGGUCUUCCACUGAAAGGGUGUUAAAAACAUGCUUUUAGCACUGCCUGAGGAUGAGACUGCGGCCGAUCAGGUUGUUGGUGUGGUAACGGCCUACCAAGCCUAUAACCGGUACGGGCCCUGAGAGGGGGAGCCCGGAGAUGGGAACUGAGAAACGGUCCCAGGUCCUACGGGACGCAGCAGGCGCGAAACCUCCACAAUGCACGAAAGUGCGAUGGGGUUAUCCCGAGUGCUUUCCGAUGAGGAUGGCUUUUCCUCGGUGUAAAAAGGCGAGGGAAUAAAGGGGGGGCAAGACUGGUGUCAGCCGCCGCGGUAAUACCAGCUCCCUGAGUGGUGGGGAUGAUUAUUUGGCCUAAAACGUUCGUAGCCGGCUUGGCAAGUCUUCCGUUAAAUCCAGCGACUCAAUCGUUGGUCUGCGGAAGAUACUACUGGGCUAGAGGACGGGAGAGGUUGACGGUAUUCCCGGUGUAGGGGUGAAAUCCAAUAAUCCUGGGAGGACCACCAGUGGCGAAGGCGGUCAACGAGAACGUGCCUGACGGUGAUGGACGAAAGCUGGGGGAGCGAACCGGGUUAGACACCCGGGUAGUCCCAGCCGUAAACGAUGCGGGCUA
rnacentral:rRNA from 1 species